rnacentral:rRNA from 1 species
GAGACUCUGUGCGCGUGCAUAUCAAUAAGCGGAGGAAAAGAAACUAACAAGGAUUCCCUUAGUAACGGCGAGUGAAGCGGGAAGAGCUCAAAUUUGAAAUCUUCAAGGGUUUACCUUGACGAAUUGUAGUUUAAAGAAGUGUUUUCUGUUAGAGAGGUGGUAAAAGUUCUUUGGAAUAGGACAUCAUAGAGGGUGAGAAUCCCGUAUUUGAUCACUUUCUACUAACGUUGUAGAUACACUUUCAAAGAGUCGGAUUGUUUGGGAAUGCAGUCCAAAAUGGGUGGUAAAUUUCAUCUAAAGCUAAAUAUUGGCGAGAGACCGAUAGCGAACAAGUACCGUGAGGGAAAGAUGAAAAGAACUUUGAAAAGAGAGUUAAACAGUACGUGAAAUUGUCAAAAGGGAAGCGUUUGACACCAGUGUUGUUUUUCCGAAAAUCAAUUAAGAAUGGCCGGAUUUUAAGUUUCAUGACCUUAAAAGCUUGUUUCUUAUUUUUCUUGUCUUUCUUAAUGCACUUUUCGGUUAACAAGUCAACAUCAAUUUCUUUUGUGGUAAAAGGUUAAGAGGAAGGUGGCUUUACUUUCGGGUAAAGUGUUUAUAGCCUUUUAACUCUGCAAUCGGAGAGAUUGAGGUCUGCAGCGUAGAUCCUUCGGGGCUAGAUACGUUUGUGCUAAGUUAUAGCUUUUCAUAGACAACUUGUUGACUAUGUUUAGUCUUGUAGCUUACUCGCAUGCGCUAUUUUACCUACGCUUAGGAUGUUGAACUCUAUCACACACAG